GAGCCUCGAGGCCAACGAAUCAUCGGGUCUCGGAGUCCGACGCUUGAGCCUCGUGACUGCCGAUGCCGAGUGCCGAUGCGGAAGCGGAACAAACGCCCAAAUGGUUUCCCAACUCCUACAGUCCAACUCCAACAGUCCAACUCCAGGCGCGCGCAAGCGGACGGAGGCAUCGAGGCUUUCCUUUUCGCCGCAGCGGUCGUCUACUCGUCUCCCGGCCACAAGCAGAAAAGCUGACACGCUCCCGCUCAUCCUCGGUUGCGCUGCCGCUGCGAAUGCCGCCUCCGGGACCCCGCCUGCCGCUGCUUCUCCUUAUCCUCCUCCUCCUUGGGGCCGCCUGCAGCUGCGGCCUCACAGUCACAGGUGCGGGGGAAGGCGGCUCCUGCGAGUUCUCCGUCGCGCGCGGCAGCGAGCUCUACAGCUUCGACCUCGCGGCGCCGACGCCGGCGCACCGCCACGGCGUGCUCAGCGAGGACGGGUUUUACAAGGUGGCUGUGAAUGAUUCCAUACUCUGGUUCCAGCUUUGUGAUGAAAUGCUAUUCAACUUUGACCCACCUAUGUGCCUUAAUUGUGAGGAUUGUGGUGGUCCUUUGAGGUGUGGAACUCAGUGCAGUGCACUUGUGUCAAAUAAUAUUGGAGGGUAUGAUGUCUGCACAACCAUUGGAGGAUUAUCUAAAUCCCAUAUAUCUCUAGUUGAUGAGGGUAAUCCUCGGAAGGGUAUCAUUGUUAAGAUGUUCUCAUCAAAGUGUUCUAUAUCUGUUUCCGUUAUUUGCGAUUCAAAUGCAAUCCAAGUACCAGACAAAUUCGUCCUAUCUGGUCUUUGUGAUUAUGCUACAACACUUGAACACCCUUCUGGUUGUCCAAGGUCUGUUUCUGCUUCUGGAAGUGGCUGGGGAUGGCUAAGCACUCUGUUCAUAACGUAUGUUAUUUUGAGCUGUAUACAAUCAUGUGAAUCUGGAACUUGUUAUAUCAGACAACUGAUCUGCAGUAGGAAGAAACUGAGUCUAGCUCAGCUACUGGAAGAAUUCUGUGCCUUCUUGGAGGGUACAUUUUGAUUGGAGCAGUUUACAGAUAUUAUUUCCUUGGCAUUCAUUCUGUAGAGGCCAUUCCGAACCUGGAAUUUUGGAUUGGUUUGCCCCAACGAAUUAAGACUGUCUUUGUUCCUGCAACAAGAAGUCAUGUAAGUUAUAGCAGAGAUGGUCUAGGCACAGAUGCCCCUGUAUACCAUUGAGAAGGUGAACAUUCAAGAAACUUCAGACAUACAGUUAAGCACAUGUAUGGACUGGACAUCGGGAUGAAACUUUGUUCUUGCCAAGAUACAGGUAUUGUCAAUGAGUCAGUAUCUUAUCCCUUGUGUUAGUUUUGGGCUGUAUCUGGUUGAAAUUUCACUGGAAAGCAAAAGUGAGCAAGUGAUUGCAGUUACAAUCAACAGUUUAAUAUAUUACAUGUAAUCAGGUUACUUUUCUUUCUCUUACUUUUUUUUGGAUGACCGAAUUAGUUUCUGGUCAACAAUUAUUUCGCAUCAACUGAAAAGUGCUGUUUAAUAGCAUCAUUGCAUAUGAUUAUACAGAUGCAAUGAUCACAGCUCAUUGUUUUGAAGUAAUCAUUUUGUCUCAAACUUACAUAAUGUGUCCAUCAGUCUGAAGUCUGAACUAAAACCAGUUUCUUUUCAGAAAUAUACCUAGGUAUGAUUCUUGUACAUAAAUAUUAUAUCACCAUGCGAGUAAUAGUCAAUCAAUUGUGGUGAACUAUUUAUCUGGUUUCCUUUCCAGAACUGCACCUAGGAGGCAUAGUAAUAAAUGUAAUCACACUUUAGGGCUAGUUUGAAAACUUAAAUCCCCUCCGGGAUUCCCGGGGAUUGAGCGGGAAAUUAGCUCAUUUUCUCACUCAAUCACCGGGAAUCCCGUAGAGGAUUUAACUUUCCAAAUUAGCCCUUAAUCAUGCUUUCCAUAAUCUACCGAUCUAUCUAAAUAGUUACAAGUAUGAUAGAAUUCUGUAAUAUAUUGCAUUAUUACUCAUCAUUUUGCUUCCUAGGUAUGCAAGUGGGACUUAAAUUGUGAAAGGGAUGGAGUAUUUGAAUGCCAUGCAACAAGAGUUCUGGUGAAAUUAUUGUAAUUUUGAACAUGUACCAUCAUCAACAUAAAAUGUGACAGAGGUUGCUGUACAGUUCCGGAAUCUUCAUGUUCAUCCCGUGAGCUAAUUUUCCCAAAUGCUGCAGCACAAAUCUACACUGUUUAGAGGGUUGAUAGCAUGUUUUUCUUGAAUCACAACAUGUUAUUAUGCAAAUGACUGGCUGGAUUUGGAACCAUGAAACAAACUAGUUUGACAUGCUUUGUUAUGAA